CCGUCUCUUGCUUCCACAGUGUUUGGACAGAACGG
rfam:Myotis lucifugus cont2.34764, whole genome shotgun sequence.